AAAAAUAAAAAUCUUUUUGAAUUUUUAAUUUAUAACUUUUUUUUAGUUUUUCAAAUACAUCACAGAAAGUACGAUAACAAAAUACUAGACAAACUUUUACACCACGUAGAAGACUCAAAACUACUAGACAAUACAAGAAAGCAAAAGAAAACAAAACAGACUCAAAAUAUAAAAAGCCUCUUCAAACAACCUCCCAAAUACGAUGGUCUUGGGAUAUCAAUCAUGCUCGAGCUGUGAUAAAUGAACACAUACCUGAAUUAGAAAAAAUAAGACCAAAUAGAUUAGUGACUCAAGACACUAAGCGACACCACAACACCUCAUAUUGGACACAUGCAUGGCACGAUUGGGCUUUUUUUCUGAAAAUUAACUUACGUGGCCUAAAGUGGCUAGAAGUACAAACUCAAAAAAAGGGGAACUUAAAUAUAUGAAAAUACCUCAAUAAGGCUUUUAUGGAUUCAAAUACACAGUAAUCACGACCCAAAAUUAGUUUGUAGAGACGACCCAUUUUUGCAAAAAUGACCUAUGUAGCUAAAAGUGGCUAAAGAUGCAAACUAAAGAAGGACAGACCUUAAAGAAAUUUGACACCUAGUGUUGGACUCAAGAUCAUAAGGCAUGGGUAAUUGAACCACUUUACAAAAAUAACCCCAUUUUGCAAGAAUGGCUGGUGUGGCCAAAAGUGGCAAGACAUGUAAGAUUUGACUAAGACCCCGCAAAACCAAGAACACAAGACUAACUAGGAUGUCCAGAUCCUAUAUGGCUGCCUGCGUACCCCGCCCUAAGAGACGAGAAUUAGAUACGCGUAGUUAGGAAGAUCAGAUAAGGGAUAGAAUUUUUAGAAAAAUGCAUCCAAUUUGAAAAAACUAUUGUUUGUCUUUUUCAAAAAAUAAUGAAAAAUGUAAAAAAAAAUUGGAUUUUAUUUUUUCUAUUUCUUUUUUAUUUUUGAAAAAUGAUAGGAAAGUGCAAAAUCUUUUUUUGACUUUUUUUUUUGGAAAAUGAUGGAAAAAUGCAAAAUAUUUUUUUUGGAUUUUUUCAUUUUUUAGAAAACUGGUGAAAUAAAAAUAUAACUGGGCCUACUUGCUUCAUCUAUAUACCCUCAACCAUCAUUGGUCCGUCGAAUAACCUUUCUACCCUCAAAGACGCAACAUGUAUCAAAUAAGGAUGAUUUAAUGUCCUUUUGGGCCAUGGUCCCACUAGACAUAAUUUAGAUAGGCCUCUUGUAAAAGGACACAGUGCCUGAGACUGAGCCCUACUAGGUUUAAAUGAUAUGAUGCAGAUAAACAUGACAUAAAGGCUGACUUAAGUUAGGGGUUCACUAAACAAGGCAAUUCGGGACAGUACGUGAUCGAUGGAGGCUGCUCUAGCUAUUCGCUCACUCCACGCUGCCAGCCACCCCCCUAAAGACGCAGGUGGCUCACAGUGUAUGCUCAAACAUACUUUGAAAAUUUGUUGUAGAAAAAAAAUUUAUGGUUAUGCAAAUGAUGACAGUUUAUAAAGCAGUAACACAUAAAGAAAUGCGAUAAACAAAUAACCAACAAAACAAGGAAGUAAGAAAAACAAACAAGAUAAACUAAGCAAAUAAAAAAACAAACACCUCAACUGAAUAUCCUAAAAGCCAACAAGAUCAAGUACCAGCUCGAAUCUGCAAUAUCCCCAGCAGAUUCACCAGAGUUGUCACACCCUUUUUUUACAAACACCACUAACCCUCUUAAAAAUAAUAAAAAAGAUUUGUAAAGAUCACAGGUUUUUUUAAUUAAAAAGUGACAAAAUUGUGUUAGAAAAGAAAUAACUCAGAGUCGCCACAUGAUAUUAGUUUCGGUGUGCAGAGAUUCGGGUAAGGGGGUGCAUUUGAAUCGAGGAGAAGGUGUGAGACACUCCCCAAGUCCCUUAACUAGUAUGGUUGUGCAUUCGAUCUAGUUGGCAUUUAAAAUAGUCAAAUUGAGGUAAAAUAAAUACAGAAAAAAAUAAACACACAAUAGGCUCGAGAUCGUCCCCGCUUAAGAAAAGAGAAAUGAAAAUAAAAAUAAAAAUAAAAAUACUAAGAGUUUUACUUUCGGCUAUGCCACGAAUAAUAUAUAUAAAUCCUUCGAGGCAUUAUCUGGAUAAAUUUAACUAAAAAUAACCUCUCACCUCAAGAUUAACAAAAUCCUAUGACUUUUCUACCCAUUACUUAUAACAAUAGAAAUUCUCAAAAAACCACAGAAAGGCUAAAAUCUUAAAGUUGUACGGUAAAUCCCACGUUCGAGGAACUUUAGCCAUUUAAUUGGAAAAUUAUAUCAACUAUAAGAUGAAUUGAGAAUUAUAUUUGACUCAAACAGUGAAUUAGCACAAUACUUCAAAUACUUUUUAAUUUAAAUCACUAAAACACAUGAUUAUUUUGAAUACCUUAUAAGUGACCUUUAAAUGCUCAUACCAUUACUUACGGAAAGAAAAAGAAGUGCACAGAACACUUCUCUUCAUUUAUCAAAAACACCUUAAGCAACUAAUUGCAAAUUUAAUGUGAAAGCGGUAUUAAACUAAAGAUUUGAAUACAAGUUAAACUCACUCAAACUAGUAAUUUUACUAAGGAAUAAAACUUAAAGGAAGCUCAAUCAACGCAACAUAAUUUCGCUUAAGGAAUUAAACGAGAUCAUAGAAAUCACUAUUGAUUUUAAGCUAUCUUUUAAUGGCUCUCCUAAAGUUUGAUUCAUAAUAAUCCAUAUUAAGUAAAAGGAAAGAAAUGAACCUGUUGGAGCAAAAAAAAUUUAAAAGCGGUAGAAGAGAUCAACAAUUCCAAAGUUGAGCUCCAAAAAUUCGUUUAAGCAGCUGCAAUACCAAUGAGUAGGAACCGCGAGCCAAAUCAAAAUCGCGAACCCCGGACGGGAUCUCGAAUAGGUACCAGAAUCUUGAAGCCAAACCCGAUCUCAAACUCAAACUUUGAACAAAUUCCAACUUCAAAACAAAAAUUGAAACGUGAAGAGGGCGGAAUAUUUCUCCUUUCGCAGCUUAAUUAUAAAAAAUCAGUAAUAUUUUUUUGACGGAUGGAGGUUGCUGGAUUUCCUAUUUCUAAAUGAAUGUGUAUCUUUUCAAUUUUGAGAGAGUGAAUUUUGAUAGAAUCUAAAGUGGGAAGGCGUUAAGAUUGGUGGCUGCGAUGACUAUAUGUGUGUUCCAUUAGGAUUGGUGGCGGCUGCUGGUUGUUGUCUUGGUCUCUAGGGUUUUUUUGUUAGGUAUUAUGUGUUGUUCCUUAGGGUUUUUUCCUUGUUUUUGGUUAUGAAGAAGAAGGGAGCUGAUGGGGAGUCUCUAGAUUUAGGUCUUUCCUAGGGUUUGUAGUGAAAGAGAAGAAAAGAUGGGUCAUGGGAUUGGACUGCUCAUUUGGGC
rnacentral:lncRNA from 1 species